UUAGGAAUCUUCCACAAUGGGCGAAAGCCUGAUGGAGCGACGCCGCGUGAGGGAUGAAGGCCUUAGGGUUGUAAACCUCUAAAAGAGGGACGAUAAUGACGGUACCUCUUGAAUAGCACCGGCUAACUCCGUGCCAGCAGCCGCGGUAAUACGGAGGGUGCAAGCGUUAUCCGGAAUCAGUGGGCGUAAAGGGCGCGUAGGCGGUCUGUUAAGUCCGAUGUUAAAUCCCGGGGCUCAACCCCGGAUAAGCGUUGGAUACUGGCAGAAUAGACGGUUGGAGAGGCGAGUGGAAUUACCAGUGUAGCGGUGGAAUGCGUAGAUACUGGUAGGAACACCCAUUGCGAAGGCAGCUCGCUGGACAACACGUGACGCUGAGGCGCGAAAGUGUGGGGAGCAAACC
rnacentral:rRNA from 1 species